AGAAUAGCGUAUAAAACCAAUGUGAGUGGUAGCAAUCACUAAGCUUUCAAAAUCAUCAGACAUAAAACACUAAAACAGUUCC
rnacentral:snoRNA from 1 species